GAAUAAUUUUAAAAUAAAAUAUACUGUAUUUUAAUUAUAUAAUAACUCGUUGAUAUUUUAUUAUAAUAAAAUAUAAUAUAUUUUUAUAAAGGCUUAACUGCAUACAUACAGUUUUCUGUAGAUAUAUCGAAUAGCAUAUAUAUCUUUAUAAAAUUUAACUUCUCAUAUUUAUUUUUACAAAAGUUCUAACGUUUUCAAAUAUAUCUUUACUGUUAGAAUCCGUUAGAAAAAUAUAGUUAACCAUAGAUAAAAUAUUUAAUUAUGAUUAGUAAAUGAAGAAAGUGAUGAUAGAAAAAAAGAAAAUGAUCGUUGAAAAUUCUUGAGAGGGCAUUUUUGUAUAAUUAUAAUAAUUCGAAUUUUUAGAGGAAUAUAUUUAUGAUGACGAAAAUAUUAUUUUUUUACUUAUCUUUUUAUUAAAAAAAUAAAUAAUAUUAUAAUAAUAAUAAAUCAGAUGAAUAAAUAUAAAUAU
rnacentral:lncRNA from 1 species